GUCUAUGGCCAUACCACGCUUGAACGUAUCCGAUCUCUUCUGAUCCUUGAAGCUAAGCAAGGUCAGCUCUGUUUAAUGCUGGGAUGGGAGAGACCACCUAACAUCAGAAGGACUGUCAUCA
ensembl:rRNA 5S_rRNA 5S ribosomal RNA